AUUGAACGCUGGCGGCAUGCCUUACACAUGCAAGUCGAACGGUAACGCGGGGCAACCUGGCGACGAGUGGCGAACGGGUGAGUAAUGCAUCGGAACGUGCCCAGAAGUGGGGGAUAGCCCGGCGAAAGCCGGAUUAAUACCGCAUGAGACCUGAGGGUGAAAGCGGGGGAUCGCAAGACCUCGCGCUUUUGGAGCGGCCGAUGUCCGAUUAGCUAGUUGGUGGGGUAAAGGCCUACCAAGGCGACGAUCUGUAGCUGGUCUGAGAGGACGACCAGCCACACUGGGACUGAGACACGGCCCAGACUCCUACGGGAGGCAGCAGUGGGGAAUUUUGGACAAUGGGCGCAAGCCUGAUCCAGCCAUGCCGCGUGCGGGAAGAAGGCCUUCGGGUUGUAAAGCACUUCCAGUAGGGAGGAAGGGUGUUGUGUUAAUAGCACAGCAUUUUGACGUUACCUACAGAAGAAGCACCGGCUAACUCUGUGCCAGCAGCCGCAGUAAUAC
rnacentral:rRNA from 1 species